AUCGCUUCUCGGCCUUUUGGCUAAGAUCAAGUGUAGUAUCUGUUCUUAUCAUCUUAUCAUUUUAAUCUGGAAAAUGAAAGUAAGGACACUCUUUUAAACAUGUCAAAGUGGAAAAUCCCCCGGAGAGGAUGGUCUACCGGUGGAAUUUUAUAGAACAUUUUGGGAAAUGAUAGGACCAGAUUUGGUAGAAACUAU